UAUCCGAUAUUCCACAAAAGAGGGCCG
rnacentral:sRNA from 1 species